rnacentral:rRNA from 1 species
AGAGUUUGAUCAUGGCUCAGAUUGAACGCUGGCGGCAUGCCUUACACAUGCAAGUCGAACGGCAGCACGGGGGCAACCCUGGUGGCGAGUGGCGAACGGGUGAGUAAUACAUCGGAACGUGUCCAGUAGUGGGGGAUAGCCCGGCGAAAGCCGGAUUAAUACCGCAUACGACCUACGGGUGAAAGCGGGGGAUCGCAAGACCUCGCGCUAUCGGAGCGGCCGAUGUCAGAUUAGCUAGUUGGUAGGGUAAAAGCCUACCAAGGCGACGAUCUGUAGCUGGUCUGAGAGGACGACCAGCCACACUGGGACUGAGACACGGCCCAGACUCCUACGGGAGGCAGCAGUGGGGAAUUUUGGACAAUGGGCGCAAGCCUGAUCCAGCCAUGCCGCGUGCGGGAAGAAGGCCUUCGGGUUGUAAACCGCUUUUGUCAGGGAAGAAACGCUCUGAGCUAAUACCUCGGAGUAAUGACGGUACCUGAAGAAUAAGCACCGGCUAACUACGUGCCAGCCGCCGCGGUAAUAC